UACGUAGGGUGCAAGCGUUGUCCGGAAUUAUUGGGCGUAAAGAGCUCGUAGGCGGUCUGUCGCGUCGGCUGUGAAAUCCCGGAGCUCAACUCCGGGCCUGCAGUCGAUACGGGCAGACUGGAGUUCGGCAGGGGAGACUGGAAUUCCUGGUGUAGCGGUGAAAUGCGCAGAUAUCAGGAGGAACACCGGUGGCGAAGGCGGGUCUCUGGGCCGUAACUGACGCUGAGGAGCGAAAGCGUGGGGAGCGAACAGG
rnacentral:rRNA from 1 species